rnacentral:lncRNA from 1 species
UUUCUUUUUCUCUCUUUCUCUCUCUCUUCUCUCCCCUUUUCUUCCGUGCGGACAGCCCCCCUCCCCACGCCGACUCUCUCUCCUUUUCCUUUGCCGUUUCCUACUUUGCUUUCUCUUCCCCAUUUGACUUUUCAACCAUUAUCUCUUCUUCUCUCUCCUCUCUCUUCUCCCCCACGUGACCUUCUUCUUCUUCUUCGUUCUUCUUUGUGCGAACCAGACCUAAACUAGCAAAGAAGAGCAGCAGCUCGCCGAGGACCACCGUCGCCCGUCCCGCCGCCGCACCGGAGCCGAACCGCCCGCGACGCCCGCCCGCACAACGCCGCGCGUUCCGCUGGCCAUCCCUCGCGCCCAGGCGUGCUCCCCCGCGCGAUCCAGCUGCUGCCCAUCCUCUGUCCAGCUCCGUCCGGCCACCGUGGGCCACCACUCGGCCUCGCCAAGCCACCACCCGCUCUCCCGACCUCUUGCCGCCCCCAACCCUCUCUGUUUCUUGCUGUUUUACGGCCGAACCAGCAAACCCACGGAGUGGGUAUCUAGCUGUUCGUGGGCCGUUUUGGGCCGUUUCCCGGCCCCGAACCCGAGCCGUGCUUUGGGGACAAUCGUUCCUCGCGUCGCCGCCGUCGGAUUGAUCCAAUUUGCGCGCGAUUUGGUAAGUAAUCUCACUAAUCCCGGAUUAGUGGGCUAAUUAUGCUUUAGGUUGUUAUAUUAGAAUUAAUUAGUAAUUAUUAGUCAAUUGUGAUGCGAUUUAGAUAAAUUGGUUGUGCAAUUAACAAGUAGACGUGGUUUACUAUUUAUUGGGAGUGUCUCGGGAAUUUUUGGACUCCUAAUUGAGCUUCAAUUUGAUGAUUCGGGCCUAAGUGAGAUUUUUGGCAUUUAAAUAUUAAUUUUCGGAAUUAAAUUAAAUAAUUAUUUAUUUUCUGAAAAUUCAAGGGAGAUGGUCUGGAACCGGAAUAUUAUGCGGAUGACUGUGGUGAAGUCCGUUUAUUUAAUCGGGCUUUAUUUUAAGCUAGAUUGAAUUUUUAAUAUUAAUUAAUUUUCGAAAUUAAUUAUUUAUUUAUUUAUUUCCUGAAAAUUCAACUGGGAUGACCCGUGACCGGAAAAUUAUGCUGAUGACCGUGGUGAAGUCUGUUUAUUUAAUUGGACCUUAUUUUGAGCUAAACAGAAUUUUUUAAUAUUAAAUAAUAAUUUUCGAAAUUAAUUAAUUAUUUUUUUUUUUAUUUUUUGGAAAUUAAGUUUGAGAUGGCCGACGACUGAAAUCUCGUGAUGAUUGUCGUGGCGCAGUCCGUUUAUUUAAUUAAGUUUUAAAUUGUACUGAAUUGAUUUAAUUGUGGAUAAUUACUUUAGAAAUGGGAUGAAUCAUCAUGAAAUGCUCGGGGCUUGAUGAUUAGAUAUAUCACCUCGGAGAAUGCACAUGGCUCGGUGACGAAGUAUGUCGCCUUGGAGAAUACAUGUGGCUCGGUGAUUAAGUUUGGCAUCUAAAAGGACACGUGGGCUCGGUAAUUUGAUGCAUUACCUUGGAGAAUGCACGUGGUCCCUAUGAGUACAUUUGGCAUCUUGAAGAGACACGUGGGCUCGGUAACUUGAUGCAUCGCCUUGGAGAAUGCACGUGGGCUCGCUGAUUCAAAAUGACAUUGAAUUUUGAAAGUGGUCGAGUGGGACCGUAAAGCCAUUGAAUUUUGAAAGUGGUCGAGUGGGACCGUAAAGCCAUUGAAUAUUAAAAGUGGUCGAGUGGGACCGUAAAGCCAUUGAAUUUCGAAAGUGGUCGAGUGGGACCGUAAAGCCAUUAAAUAUUGAAUGUUGUCGAGUGGUGGGCUGUGUCUUCCACCUUUGCUUAAGAUGUGAUAUGAGGAUCGUAGUUCAUAAUUGAUGAUUGAGAUGGAAUAAUCGAAUUGACCUAGAAUGGUCCAUCUGGCAUGUAAUCGACUAGGUCGAUUGAUCAUUGAUUUGAUUUGAUGUCGUGGAUUGAUUAACUGAUUAGAAAUGACCAUGAGUGGUCUUCUUGGCUUAUAAUCGACUAGGUCGAUUUGAUCGAUGCUUCGAUCGGUGAUAUGAUUGUUUGAGUGCCUAUUAUGAAUUGUACUGACUUGCAGGUGGGAUAUGAGGCCAAGGUACGUCUUCUGCCCUAUGCGUGUAUAGGCAGCCUAUAGUAUAAUAGUUUACUAAUUUGGCUUAGUGGGGUAGAACUCGCUGAGACGUAGUCUCAUCCCAGUUUGGGGAGAAACAUUUCAGGACCCCGAUGAGGAGCUGAUGAGGAGGAGUCUGAGGAGGAGAACUCGGAGGUGAAACUUAAAGAGAAGGAUUUUUUUGAAGAAGAAGAUAAUCCCGAUAGGGGCCUUAAGUAUGGCCUGGAUGGGCUGAGAGUCUAUCUUCUUCUGAGAAUUCCUUUUGAAGUGAUCAAUUAUGAAUUGGUUUGUAUUUUGUAUAAAAGUUUGGUUAUAAAUUUCAAUAUGAAAAAUAUGGCCCUGCUUUUCUAUCCCAUCGUUUUAUUGUCUGGGGAUUUUAAUUGCUUUCG